UACGAAGGGGGCUAGCGUUGUUCGGAUUUACUGGGCGUAAAGCGCACGUAGGCGGUUUGUUAAGUCAGGGGUGAAAUCCCAGAGCUCAACUCUGGAACUGCCUUCGAUACUGAGAGUCUUGAGUCCGGGAGAGGUGAGUGGAACUGCGAGUGUAGAGGUGAAAUUCGUAGAUAUUCGCAAGAACACCAGUGGCGAAGGCGGCUCACUGGCCCGGUACUGACGCUGAGGUGCGAAAGCGUGGGGAGCAAACAGG
rnacentral:rRNA from 1 species